rnacentral:rRNA from 1 species
GACGGAGGAUGCAAGUGUUAUCCGGAAUCACUGGGCGUAAAGCGUCUGUAGGUGGUCAAAUAAGUCAACUGUUAAAUCUUGAGGCUCAACCUCAAAAUCGCAGUCGAAACUAUUAGACUAGAGUAUAGUAGGGGUAAAGGGAAUUUCCAGUGGAGCGGUGAAAUGCGUAGAGAUUGGAAAGAACACCGAUGGCGAAGGCAUUUUACUGGGCUAUUACUAACACUCAGAGACGAAAGCUAGGGUAGCAAAUGGG